rnacentral:rRNA from 1 species
UACGUAGGGUGCGAGCGUUAAUCGGAAUUACUGGGCGUAAAGUGUGCGCAGGCGGCGUCGCAAGUCGAGUGUGAGAGCCCCGGGCUUAACUUGGGAAUUGCGCUCGAAACUACGAUGCUGGAGUGUGGCAGAGGAAGGUGGAAUUCCACGUGUAGCGGUGAAAUGCGUAGAGAUGUGGAGGAACACCAAUGGCGAAGGCAGCCUUCUGGGCCAACACUGACGCUCAUGCACGAAAGCGUGGGGAGCAAACAGG